rnacentral:rRNA from 1 species
AUUUUGCGCAAUGGGCGAAAGCCUGACGCAGCAACACCGCGUGUAGGAUGACGGCCCUCGGGUUGUAAACUACUGUCAGCAGGGAAUAAUUUUGACUGUACCUGCAGAGGAAGCACCGGCUAACUACGUGCCAGCAGCCGCGGUAAGACGUAGGGUGCAAGCGUUGUCCGGAAUUAUUGGGCGUAAAGAGUUCGUAGGCGGUUACUUAAGUCUGGUGUUAAAGACUGGAGCUCAACUCCAGCAUGGCAUCGGAAACUGGGUAGCUAGAGUGCGGUAGAGGUAUCGGGAAUUCCAGGUGUAGCGGUGAAAUGCGUAGAUAUCUGGAGGAACACCAGUGGCGAAAGCGCGAUACUGGGCCGUAACUGACGCUGAGGAACGAAAGCCAGGGUAGCAAAAGGG